rnacentral:rRNA from 1 species
CCUACGGGAGGCAGCAGUGGGGAAUAUUGGGCAAUGGGCGCAAGCCUGACCCAGCAACGCCGCGUGAAGGAAGAAGGCUUUCGGGUUGUAAACUUCUUUUCUAAGGGACGAAGCAAGUGACGGUACCUGAGGAAUAAGCCACGGCUAACGACGUGCCAGCAGCCGCGGUAAUACGUAGGUGGCAAGCGUUCUCCGGAUUUACUGGGGGGAAAGGGCGUGUAGGCGGGACUGCAAGUCAGAUGUGAAAACCACGGGCCCAACCUGUGGCCUGCAUUUGAAACUGUAGUUCUUGAGUACUGGAGAGGCAGGCGGAAUGCCUGGUGUAGCGGUGAAAUGCGUAGAUAUUAGGAGGAACACCAGUGGCGAAGGCGGUCUGCUGGACAGCAACUGACGCUGAGGCGCGAAAGCGUGGGGAGCAAACAGGAUUAGAUACCCUGGUAGUC